rnacentral:rRNA from 1 species
CAUGUCCUUUUGAAUAUAAUUUAAGGUCUAAUCUGCUCAAUGAAAUUUAAAUAGCCGCAGUAUUUUGACUGUGCGAAGGUAGCAUAAUAAUUAGUCUCUUGAUUAGGGGCUGGUAUGAAUGAUUGGACAAGAAAAUUACUGUCUCUUUUUCAAAUUUUUUGAAUUUUAUUUUUAAGUGAAAAAGCUUAAAUUUUUAUAAAAGACGAGAAGACCCUAUAGAGUUUAAUAUUUUUAAGCGAAUUUGAUAUUAGAAUUUGAUUUUGUUUAAGUUUAUUUGGUUGGGGUGAUUUGGAGAUAUGACAAAUUCUUUAAUAUAUAAAUUGGGGAUUUCUAAAUUUUAAAUCUAUAUUUUAUAAAUAUAAAAUAAAUUACCUUAGGGAUAACAGCGUAAUUUUUCUUUAUAGUUCUUAUUGAAAGAAAAGUUUGCGACCUCGAUGUUGGAUUAAAAUUAAUUUUUGGUGCAGUAGCUUAAAAAUUGGGUCUGUUCGACCUUUAAAAUUUUACAUGAUCUGAGUUUAAACCGGUGUAAACCAGGUUGGAUUCUAUCUUUAGAAAUAUAGUAUAUUUUAGUACGAAAGGACAGGAUAUAUAUUAAAUUAAUU